UGCCAGACUCCUACGGGAGGCAGCAGUGGGGAAUAUUGCACAAUGGGGGAAACCCUGAUGCAGCGACGCCGCGUGAGUGAAGAAGUAUUUCGGUAUGUAAAGCUCUAUCAGCAGGGAAGAAAAUGACGGUACCUGACUAAGAAGCCCCGGCUAACUACGUGCCAGCAGCCGCGGUAAUACGUAGGGGGCAAGCGUUAUCCGGAUUUACUGGGUGUAAAGGGAGCGUAGACGGCAGGGCAAGCCAGAAGUGAAAGCCCGGGGCCCAACCCCGGGACUGCUCUUGGAACUGCGCGGCUGGAGUGCAGGAGGGGCAGGCGGAAUUCCUGGUGUAGCGGUGAAAUGCGUAGAUAUCAGGAGGAACACCGGUGGCGAAGGCGGCCUGCUGGACUGCGACUGACGUUGAGGCCCGAAAGCGUGGGGAGCAAACAGGAUUAGAUACCCGCGUAUUA
rnacentral:rRNA from 1 species